CUUGCUCUGUGGGAUCAGUGGCGAACGGGUGAGUAACACGUGAGCAACCUGCCCCUGACUCUGGGAUAAGCGCUGGAAACGGCGUCUAAUACUGGAUAUGUGACGUGACCGCAUGGUCUGCGUCUGGAAAGAAUUUCGGUUGGGGAUGGGCUCGCGGCCUAUCAGCUUGUUGGUGAGGUAAUGGCUCACCAAGGCGUCGACGGGUAGCCGGCCUGAGAGGGUGACCGGCCACACUGGGACUGAGACACGGCCCAGACUCCUACGGGAGGCAGCAGUGGGGAAUAUUGCACAAUGGGCGCAAGCCUGAUGCAGCAACGCCGCGUGAGGGACGACGGCCUUCGGGUUGUAAACCUCUUUUAGCAGGGAAGAAGCGAAAGUGACGGUACCUGCAGAAAAAGCGCCGGCUAACUACGUGCCAGCAGCCGCGGUAAUACGUAGGGCGCAAGCGUUAUCCGGAAUUAUUGGGCGUAAAGAGCUCGUAGGCGGUUUGUCGCGUCUGCUGUGAAAUCCGGAGGCUCAACCUCCGGCCUGCAGUGGGUACGGGCAGACUAGAGUGCGGUAGGGGAGAUUGGAAUUCCUGGUGUAGCGGUGGAAUGCGCAGAUAUCAGGAGGAACACCGAUGGCGAAGGCAGAUCUCUGGGCCGUAACUGACGCUGAGGAGCGAAAGGGUGGGGAGCAAACAGGCUUAGAUACCCUGGUAGUCCACCCCGUAAACGUUGGGAACUAGUUGUGGGGUCCAUUCCACGGAUUCCGUGACGCAGCUAACGCAUUAAGUUCCCCGCCUGGGGAGUACGGCCGCAAGGCUAAAACUCAAAGGAAUUGACGGGGACCCGCACAAGCGGCGGAGCAUGCGGAUUAAUUCGAUGCAACGCGAAGAACCUUACCAAGGCUUGACAUAUACGAGAACGGGCCAGAAAUGGUCAACUCUUUGGACACUCGUAAACAGGUGGUGCAUGGUUGUCGUCAGCUCGUGUCGUGAGAUGUUGGGUUAAGUCCCGCAACGAGCGCAACC
rnacentral:rRNA from 1 species